rnacentral:rRNA from 1 species
CAAGACCUUGCGCNAAUGGANCGGCCGAUGGCAGAUUAGGAUAGUUGGUNAGGUUAAAGGCUCACCAAAGCCUUCGAAUCUGUAGCUGGUCUGAGAGGACGACCAGCCACNCUGGGANUNANACUCGGCCCAGACUCCUACGGGAGGCAGCAGUGNGGAAUUUUGGACAAUGGGCGCAAGCCUGAUCCAGCCAUGCCGCGUGCAGGAUGAAGGCCUUCNGGUUGUAAACUGCUUUUGUACGGAACGAAACGGCCUUUUCUAAUAAAGAGGGCUAAUGACGGUACCGUAAGAAUAAGCACCGGCUAANUACGUGCCAGCAGCCGCGGUAAUACGUAGGGUGCAAGCGUUAAUCGGAAUUACUGGGCGUAAAGCGUGCGCAGGCGGUAAUGUAAGACAGUUGUGAAAUCCCCGGGCUCAACCUGGGAACUGCAUCUGUGACUGCAUUGCUGGAGUACGGCAGAGGGGGAUGGAAUUCCGCGUGUAGCAGUGAAAUGCGUAGAUAUGCGGAGGAACACCGAUGGCGAAGGCAAU